ensembl:lncRNA
ACUUCAGAAUCACCUGGAGAACUUUAGAACACACUGAUGCCUGGGCCGUUUCUGGGAUGCUGUAAAUCCGAGUCUCUGGGGAACGGGACCGAGCCAUCCACACUGCAGUUUAAAUAUUUUCCCAGGUGGUUCUAAUGAACAGCCAGAGCUGAGACGCGCUCGGACAUUGUUGUAACCUGGCUUUGAGACGCUGAGUUUCUAAAUGCACCGCAAAAGGGAGGCAGAUUUUCACCAGGGAAGCAGUGUUUCAGGAGAAUCUUGAAAUAGAGACACUCGUUCACCUGAUUGGCAACGGCAGCUUGAGUCAUGAGGACAAAAGCAAACAGUUGAAUUUUUAUGUAAAUAUUUCAGGAGAUUCAGCUAACCAACAAAGAUGCUAAAAGGAGCCUAAGAGUUGAAAGAUAUCAAAUCAUCAUCAGUGCCGUCUGCACUGGACUCCUCCAUAUGUAAUGGGCACACAGUAAGGAUCAGUGACUAUGUCCGCAUACUCACGUAGACACACAAAAACUUCUCUGAGAAGUUUAGAAGUUUCACAGACCUUUGGAGCCACAUCACCAGGCCUGUGGUUCCCAGAUUACAAAAGCUUGAAAAAGAUUGUGACUCCUAGAAAGCAGGAGCCACGUCCUUCAAAUUCUACGACACCAGCGCCAAGCACAAGCCAGACCUGUUGAAGAAGGAGAGAAUUCCACACCCGCCAUCCAUUUGAUCAUUCGCCAAGUGAUUACAAUUUCCACAGUUGUUACACCAACUCAGCUGGAGUCCUGUUGUAUAUUGAGAAGUAACCUGCAUUCUAGACGAGCUCAACAGAUAAGAGAAUAUGGCUCCAUGAAUCCACGGUGAGCUUUUCAAUGCUUAGCAGCUUCUGUUCCUGGAGGGCCGGUGCGCCUCUGGGAAACAUUGUCACCCCCCUCUCUCACCUUGAAGUCGAGGACCUCUUCACACAGAGAAUGCAGUUGAAGCCUUCUCCAGAGCGGAAGGAAGAGCUGAGGAGAGCCGGUUUCUUGGCACAGUAAAUUACUCUUUAUGAAAAGUCUUUUAUAUGCUUCUCACAAGCCAUCAGCGCAGUUAAGAAUGAUGUCACCCGGCCGCUCUUGAAUCCUAAGUCUCAGCAGCAGGAGGGUGUCAUGCACAAGAGGCAACAGAGCCCAGGGAGCGAGGCCACAGUGCUUGAGACAGAAGUCAGGGCUCCCCCAACACCGCACAGAAUUCUGCUGGCAUUUUUAAAUGCUCUACAGAAUCUUUCUCAGUUAGAGAAAUGUCAUCUGCCCUCUCCCCUCCCAUGUCCUUCCCUUCUUGUUUUUCUCUUUAGCCCUUCACUCUAUUUUCUCUACUUUUCCAACAGUGAAAUACUCAGCCUCAGGACCCACUGAGUUAUCUCAUUUUGUUUCGUUUUUUUCUUGAUAGCCUCUGUAUUGGAUUGAAUAAUGUCCCCCCCCCGCCAAAAAAAAUCUAUGUGCUUCCUGGAACCUCAGAAUGUGACCUUAUUUGGAAAUAGGGCCACUGAAGAUGUAAUUAGUUAAGACGAGGUCACACUGGCAUAAGUUGGGCCCUUAAUCCAAUAUGAGGUGUCCUUACAAGAAGAGAAGAAGAGUCUCAGAGACAAACACACAGCUAAGAAGGCCACGGAAGAGGGAGGCAGAGAUCAGAGUGAUGAACCCACAAGCCCAGGAACUCCAAGGACUGCCUGCCACCACGGGAGGAAGCUGGAAGAGGCAAGGAAGGAUUCUUCCACAGAGCCUUCUGGGAGAACGCUGCCCUGCCAACACCUGGAUUUUGGACUUCUGACCUCCAGAACUGGAAGCAGUAGGCCGGAACUGUCUCUGGUCGUUCCUGCAUCCCCACACGCUGGCCCUGCCGUCAUCCAUGGAGCAAGCUCAUGACCAGCAAGAAAAAUGAGACCCCACAGAGAGAGGCCAGGCAGAGAGAUGAAGAGGAACAAGGAGGGGCCAAGCGACAGGCCAAGGAUGUCACUG